GGCCGCGGGAAUUCGAGUCAGGCCUAACACAUGCAAGUCGAACGGCAGCACGGGUGCUUGCACCUGGUGGCGAGUGGCGAACGGGUGAGUAAUAUAUCGGAACGUACCUUAUCGUGGGGGAUAACGCAGCGAAAGCUGUGCUAAUACCGCAUAAGCCCUAAGGGGGAAAGCAGGGGACCGUAAGGCCUUGCGCGAUUAGAGCGGCCGAUACCUGAUUAGCUAGUUGGUGAGGUAAAGGCUCACCAAGGCAACGAUCAGUAGCUGGUCUGAGAGGACGAUCAGCCACACUGGGACUGAGACACGGCCCAGACUCCUACGGGAGGCAGCAGUGGGGAAUUUUGGACAAUGGGGGCAACCCUGAUCCAGAAAGGCCGCGUGAGUGAAGAAGGCCUUCGGGUUGAAAUUAAAGGGGUCAGGGAAGAAACAGCAGCUCUAAUACAGU
rnacentral:rRNA from 1 species